GAUGAACGCUGGCGGCGUGCUUAACACAUGCAAGUCGAACGAAGCACUUAUGACAGAUUCUUCGGAUGACGGAUUAAGUGACUGAGUGGCGGACGGGUGAGUAACGCGUGGGUAACCUGCCUCAUACAGGGGGAUAACAGUUAGAAAUGACUGCUAAUACCGCAUAGGCGCACAAAACCGACGGGUAUGGUGUGAAAAACUCCGGUGGUAUGAGAUGGACCCGGGUCUGAUUAGCUAGUUGGUGGGGUAACGGCCUACCAAGGGGACGAUCAGUAGCCGGCCUGAGAGGGUGAACGGCCACAUUGGGACCGAGACACGGCCCAAACUCCUACGGGAGGCAGCAGUGGGGAAUAUUGCACAAUGGGGGAAACCCUGAUGCAGCGACGCCGCGUGAGUGAAGAAGUAUUUCGGUAUGUAAAGCUCUAUCAGCAGGGAAGAAAAUGACGGUACCUGACUAAGAAGCACCGGCUAAAUACGUGCCAGCCGCCGCAGUAAGAC
rnacentral:rRNA from 1 species